rnacentral:rRNA from 1 species
AGGACGAACGCUGGCGGCGCGCUUUAUACAUGCAAGUCGAACGAGAAGCCAGAGCUUGCUCUGGUGGAAAGUGGCGAACGGGUGAGUAACACGUGAGAAACCUGCCCCAAAGACUGGGAUAAGCCGAGGAAACUUGGUCUAAUACCGGAUACCUUCUUUUAUCACAUGUUAAAAAGAAGAAAUGCUCCGGCGCUUUGGGAUGGUCUCGCGACCUAUCAGCUUGUUAGUGAGGUAAAAGCUCACCAAGGCAUCGACGGGUAGCUGGUCUGAGAGGAUGUCCAGCCACAUUGGGACUGAGAUACGGCCCAAACUCCUACGGGAGGCAGCAGUAGGGAAUCUUGCACAAUGAGGGAAACCUUGAUGCAGCGACGCCGCGUGCGGGACGAAGGCCCUAGGGUUGUAAACCGCUUUCAGUAGGGACGAAAGUGACGGUACCUACAGAAGAAGCCCCGGCCAACUAUGUG